rnacentral:rRNA from 1 species
GGUGAACGCUGGCGGCGUGCUUAAGACAUGCAAGUCGAACGAUCGUCUUCGGACGGUAGUGGCGCACGUGUGAGUAACGCGUAACUGACCUGCCCCCAAGUUCCUAACACCCCUCCGAAAGGAGGGCUAAUACGGGAUGUGCUGUCCCCUCCUGUGUGGCCCGUAAAGGCUUGACCGCUUGGGGAUGGGGUUGCGUUCCAUCAGCUAGAUGGUGGGGUAAAGGCCUAUCAUGGCAACGACGGAUAACUCGCCUGAGAGGGUGGCCGGUCACAGGGGCACUCAGACACGGGUCGAAAUCCUACGGGAGGCAGCAGUGAGGGAUGCUGCCGAAUAGACGAGAGUCUGAGGGAGCGACGCCUCGUGAGGUAUGAAGGUAUUCGGGUCGUAAUCCUCUGAAUCAGGGACGAUAGACGCGGAAGAGGGAUGACGGUACCUGAGUAAUAGCACCGGCUAACUCCGUG